CCCCGAGGAAAAGAAAUCAACCGAGAUUCCCCCAGUAGCGGCGAGCGAACGGGGAGCAGCCCAGAGCCUGAAUCAGUGUGUGUGUUAGUGGAAGCGUCUGGAAAGGCGUGCGAUACAGGGUGACAGCCCCGUACACAAAAAUGCACAUACUGUGAGCUCGAUGAGUAGGGCGGGACACGUGGUAUCCUGUCUGAAUAUGGGGGGACCAUCCUCCAAGGCUAAAUACUCCUGACUGACCGAUAGUGAACCAGUACCGUGAGGGAAAGGCGAAAAGAACCCCGGCGAGGGGAGUGAAAAAGAACCUGAAACCGUGUACGUACAAGCAGUGGGAGCACGCUUAGGCGUGUGACUGCGUACCUUUUGUAUAAUGGGUCAGCGACUUAUAUUCUGUAGCAAGGUUAACCGAAUAGGGGAGCCGAAGGGAAACCGAGUCUUAACUGGGCGUUAAGUUGCAGGGUAUAGACCCGAAACCCGGUGAUCUAGCCAUGGGCAGGUUGAAGGUUGGGUAACACUAACUGGAGGACCGAACCGACUAAUGUUGAAAAAUUAGCGGAUGACUUGUGGCUGGGGGUGAAAGGCCAAUCAAACCGGGAGAUAGCUGGUUCUCCCCGAAAGCUAUUUAGGUAGCGCCUCGUGAAUUCAUCUCCGGGGGUAGAGCACUGUUUCGGCAAGGGGGUCAUCCCGACUUACCAACCCGAUGCAAACUGCGAAUACCGGAGAAUGUUAUCACGGGAGACACACGGCGGGUGCUAACGUCCGUCGUGAAGAGGGAAACAACCCAGACCGCCAGCUAAGGUCCCAAAGUCAUGGUUAAGUGGGAAACGAUGUGGGAAGGCCCAGACAGCCAGGAUGUUGGCUUAGAAGCAGCCAUCAUUUAAAGAAAGCGUAAUAGCUCACUGGUCGAGUCGGCCUGCGCGGAAGAUGUAACGGGGCUAAACCAUGCACCGAAGCUGCGGCAGCGACGCUUAUGCGUUGUUGGGUAGGGGAGCGUUCUGUAAGCCUGUGAAGGUGUGCUGUGAGGUAUGCUGGAGGUAUCAGAAGUGCGAAUGCUGACAUAAGUAACGAUAAAGCGGGUGAAAAGCCCGCUCGCCGGAAGACCAAGGGUUCCUGUCCAACGUUAAUCGGGGCAGGGUGAGUCGACCCCUAAGGCGAGGCCGAAAGGCGUAGUCGAUGGGAAACAGGUUAAUAUUCCUGUACUUGGUGUUACUGCGAAGGGGGGACGGAGAAGGCUAUGUUGGCCGGGCGACGGUUGUCCCGGUUUAAGCGUGUAGGCUGGUUUUCCAGGCAAAUCCGGAAAAUCAAGGCCGAGGCGUGAUGACGAGGCACUACGGUGCUGAAGCAACAAAUGCCCUGCUUCCAGGAAAAGCCUCUAAGCAUCAGGUAACAUCAAAUCGUACCCCAAACCGACACAGGUGGUCAGGUAGAGAAUACCAAGGCGCUUGAGAGAACUCGGGUGAAGGAACUAGGCAAAAUGGUGCCGUAACUUCGGGAGAAGGCACGCUGAUACGUAGGUGAAGCGACUUGCUCGUGGAGCUGAAAUCAGUCGAAGAUACCAGCUGGCUGCAACUGUUUAUUAAAAACACAGCACUGUGCAAACACGAAAGUGGACGUAUACGGUGUGACGCCUGCCCGGUGCCGGAAGGUUAAUUGAUGGGGUUAGCGCAAGCGAAGCUCUUGAUCGAAGCCCCGGUAAACGGCGGCCGUAACUAUAACGGUCCUAAGGUAGCGAAAUUCCUUGUCGGGUAAGUUCCGACCUGCACGAAUGGCGUAAUGAUGGCCAGGCUGUCUCCACCCGAGACUCAGUGAAAUUGAACUCGCUGUGAAGAUGCAGUGUACCCGCGGCAAGACGGAAAGACCCCGUGAACCUUUACUAUAGCUUGACACUGAACAUUGAGCCUUGAUGUGUAGGAUAGGUGGGAGGCUUUGAAGUGUGGACGCCAGUCUGCAUGGAGCCGACCUUGAAAUACCACCCUUUAAUGUUUGAUGUUCUAACGUGGACCCGUGAUCCGGGUUGCGGACAGUGUCUGGUGGGUAGUUUGACUGGGGCGGUCUCCUCCUAAAGAGUAACGGAGGAGCACGAAGGUUGGCUAAUCCUGGUCGGACAUCAGGAGGUUAGUGCAAUGGCAUAAGCCAGCUUGACUGCGAGCGUGACGGCGCGAGCAGGUGCGAAAGCAGGUCAUAGUGAUCCGGUGGUUCUGAAUGGAAGGGCCAUCGCUCAACGGAUAAAAGGUACUCCGGGGAUAACAGGCUGAUACCGCCCAAGAGUUCAUAUCGACGGCGGUGUUUGGCACCUCGAUGUCGGCUCAUCACAUCCUGGGGCUGAAGUAGGUCCCAAGGGUAUGGCUGUUCGCCAUUUAAAGUGGUACGCGAGCUGGGUUUAGAACGUCGUGAGACAGUUCGGUCCCUAUCUGCCGUGGGCGCUGGAGAACUGAGGGGGGCUGCUCCUAGUACGAGAGGACCGGAGUGGACGCAUCACUGGUGUUCGGGUUGUCAUGCCAAUGGCACUGCCCGGUAGCUAAAUGCGGAAGAGAUAAGUGCUGAAAGCAUCUAAGCACGAAACUUGCCCCGAGAUGAGUUCUCCCUGACCCUUUAAGGGUCCUGAAGGAACGUUGAAGACGACGACGUUGAUAGGCCGGGUGUGUAAGCGCAGCGAUGCGUUGAGCUAACCGGUACUAAUGAACCGUGAGGCUUAACCUUACAACGCCGAAG
rnacentral:rRNA from 1 species